UGCUCGCGGGAGGCGGCGCUCAGGACGGAGCCCGGCUGGCCGGGGGAGGAGGAGGAGGAGAGACCGGUCUGUGGACGGAGGGAGACUCCAGGGGAGGAGGGCAGCUGCCGCAGCGGCCGAGCGGCUGCGAGCACGGACUUCCCGAGCCUCUGUUCCGUUGCCCGCCUCUCGGCCUCGCCUACGCCCCGGCGCCGAGGGAAACGAGAACAAACGUGCCUCCCGGGAGUGCGUCUGCGAGCGCCUGCGCCCAGUCACAGAGAGAGAGGCAGAGACACAGGCAGAGGGAGAAGCAGGCUCCAUGCACCAGGAGCCCAACGUGGGACUCGAUCCCGGAUCUCCAGGAUCACGCCCUGGGCCAAAGGCAGGCGCCAAACCGCUGCGCCACCCAGGGAUCCCUGACUUUGUUUUAAAUGGCUUGAAGUCCUUUCUGGAAUAAAGUGAGGCCUGAACCCAUGAAUACUGGUGUGUCAGCCCAGGAAGUGAUGCCCCAGGAUCCAGCCUCCUCAGACCAAGGCUGUUCACAGGGAGGUCUGCAGCGCACAUUUCCCUUGCCCACACAUCAGCUUUGGUUGCUGUCUGCUCCUUUUUCAUGUUAUUUUUUCCUCUUAACUGACUUUACUAACUUUUCGAAGAACGGAAGCCAUGCUCUCUUGUAUCCUCCUGGGGAGUCAAGUUCAGCUGGGGGACCCAACACUGGGUAAUUGUGUCAUUUGAAUCAAAGAAUCAUUGUCCUUCAUUAGUGAAGAGGCAACAUACCCACCAUUAGCACACUAAGAAUGAAACUUUUCAGUGCUGGGAAGAGAUGCAAUUCCUGUUUACAGUCUUUGGCUGGAAUCGCAGAUAACUAAGGGCAUUGACAAGUGGCUUAUUUCCUGUAAUGACAGCGAUUGGCUUUCAGUGUCAUGGCACUUGUUACUUGUUAGUCACUUCUCCCAAGUAUUUCUCAUCUUCCCAAUUGUGCACAUCCUAGGAGCAGGGCCGUGUUCAGUUUCCUUUUAUUCUCUGUCUGGUUGGGGAAGAUGCUCCUAUCUUCCCGCCAGGCCACUAUCAGCACUAUUACACACAGUAAUAUCCUAGGGCAGUAAAAUCUGAAGAAUGAGUUGUUGAAGUCUUAGUGUGUAAUUAACAGCUUCAGAUGUUCUGAGGAAAGAACCAGACAGGAGCCAGAAGGAUGGUACCAGGCCCCAUGUUUGCCUUAAGGGGCCCAAAUCCUCAUUCUGCGAAUUCAGAUGUUGCUUAUCUUUCUGCAGGAGUAAAUUUAGAAUCAUUUACAACUUCAUUUGGGAUGAGGAUCCCAAAUGGUAGGGUUAUCUCUUUUAAUUAAAAAUUUAAAUAAUUAUAAAAUAUCUGUGAACCCACAAGAACCAGAAGAUAACCAAUAACAUGAACACUUCCCUGCUCCUCUUUGCCAUCCUUCUACACACCCCACUGGUCAUCACCGUCCUGUUGUUCAGGUUAUAAAACGGGUAUUGUAAGGUAUGUGGUCUUCUGACACCCCGCAUGGUUAAGAAUGCUUACUCUGGAAACACGUCCACAUUUACAAUGGAAGUAGUGUUGAGUCCAACAAACUUAUCACAGCUCUAGCUGCUGCUAAUAAAAAUGCAUCAAGAAGGGACACCUGGGUAGCUCAGCAGUUGAGCAUCUGCCUUCAUUCAGCUCAGGGCGUGAUGCAGGGUCUGGGAUGGAGUCCUGCAUCAGGCUUCCUGCGGGGAUCCUCCUUCUCCCUCUGCCUAUGUCUGCCUCUCUCUCUCUCAGGAAUAAAUAUUUUUUAAAAAAUG